CAUCACAAAAAUUACACAGGUCUGUGUUCAGCGAUCCUGGCCAGUUUGUUUCUACAAGCUGUGAUCGGUUGAUUGCUGGGCAGUUCGACGACAAAGGAGCCACCCUUGCAAUUUCCGAAUUGUUAUGGUGUCAAUUUCCUGUCGACAGAUCUGAGAUCGAUGUACAGCUCUCAACACCCUUUAGCUUUGAGCUCCCUUUUCCUCACGGGAUUGGUGAAUUCAGUUGGAGGAUUGAGUUGCUGUCGGCGUCAUAUUCCCACUCCCUUUACCGAUUAUUUUUGGCCGUCGGCUGAUGAGGUUAGGGAAAAACCAUGACUAGCCAACAUUC
rfam:Talaromyces marneffei PM1 scf012, whole genome shotgun sequence.